UCCUGUGUUGCUUGCCUAACGUGAUGGAAAGUGUCCCCAGAUGAAGUCCUGAUUUUCGCCUCUCACCAAUUCGUGGUGUUAGGUUGAUGUGGAAGUACUGCCCAUUCUCCUUGAAUGCUUUGCCCUUUUGUGUUGCAAUCACGGCCCAUGGGUUGCUACUAGUUCCCUCGGAUGCAGAACUUUUGAAGGGUGGGCAGCAUGUUGCUGUAGUUCACCUACAACGCGUUCAUCGCUUGAUGCGUACGACAGUUGUGCCCGUUUUGGUCCCCUCCUUAACUAGUUUGGAUGGGGCUCAUGCGGUGCCGGUGUCGCGAAGGAAUGCUACCUGGUUGAUCCUGCCAGUAGUCAUAUGCUUGUCUCAA
rnacentral:misc_RNA from 1 species